CUUUCGUGUCGGGGGUUGGGGUGUUCACACUUAAACAUAAAUCAACUGGCAAAUUCAGCCCAACUCACGUGCUGGCCCUGUCCACACAGACGUCGACUCCAGCAAAAAUGUCCUGACUGACUUCAGGAGAGAGGAAUUAUUGCUACGUGCCUCUUUCCCAGUGAAGAAAAUCUCUGUUGGCUGCGAGCAGAGAAGCGGCGGAAGGAUUCCCGACUCCGGGAAGCCAGGUGUCGGAAGGAGGAAGUACGCUUGAAGGGGGUCCGGCUGGCCGACUCUGCACUCGUCCGUUCGUGGCCCACCGUGGUGGUCACCAAAUUGAGGGCUUCCUGGAAGGACCUCCUCACGGUGCCCAUCCACUGGGUCAUGUGGGUCUGGGCCACUGUGAGUUUAUCUCCCAGGUAAUCCAUGGGGCCAGCCAGGAGGAGAGGGAAGAAGGAAGUUAGGGAGGGAGAGAGCAAUUAAAACGCCAGUGUCCUCUUGCCUCUUUGGACUCUUUUGCUCAUGGAAGUUUUGGGCUUGCUUGGAGGAAAAAAAAUUAAAAACAGCAGCUUUCUUCAGGCAAACCAAGGGUAAGUAAACAUCCCUGAGCCAGGAGCCGGCUGCAUCCACGGGUGCCGCUCAGAAUUAAGAGGCAGCUAAGUGCCAGGCUGGGAGUCCACCCCAGCGGAGUUAUAAAGUCAACACACUGGGCAGUCCAGGUUCCAGUUCCAGGGCUCACCCAGCUGAUCGGCCGAGACAAGGAGCUUUGAGGAACAAGCCGGCUGCACUCACUCCAGGGCGUGACGGUCCCGAAAGGCGGGGGAUGGGGAUGGGGGUGGGGGUGGAGGGGGCGGCCUUUGGGCACCCUCGUCCUCACUUCCCUUCAGGUAGGCAGCCCCCCUGAGGUGCACCCUGGGAGGUUCCGGUGGGCAAGCUGCCGCACCCUGCUGCCCCCUGCCCGGCUGCCCUCGGCCAGACCCCGCUCACCUGACCCAUGCAGGUUUUCUGUCCUCUGGCUGGAGAUUCCAAACCUGUCGGCCGGCAGGCGGCUAGCUCACUUCCGGAGGCAGCCACCAGGGCCCCCGGGUCCCCUGGCUGAGCAGCCCGGGAUGACAUCAGCCCCCGUCUUAGCGAGGGGCUUCGCUGCCCAGGAAUGCAGGAGGGGCCUCGGGGAGGCGGAGGCGGUGGCGGCGGCCGCCCAGGGAGCUGACGUCCGCCCCCAUUUUUUUCUCCCCCAAGUCCCAACUCGCUCACGGUCCCUCGGGGCUGAUGGCAACUUCACGUGCCUGCCAGCCUACCCACCCCUGUGCCCUCACAGCAAGCGCACCAGGAAAUGCGGCUGCACGUGUGUGCAUGUGUGUGCACUCUGUGUGUGUGUGCGUGUAUGUCGGCGAUCUGGCAGCCCCGGGAAGGUUAGCACUGCUGGGAAACGGCUUCUGCCUCUAAGGUUACAGGCAGCGUCUUGGGACCUCUGGUCGGCUGUCAGUCUGUCUCCCUCUCGUGGUCUGUUUCUCUGUUGAUUUCUCAGCCUCGCUCUCCUCCCUCUCCCUGUGUCUCAACUUCCACUUGCUUGUCUCUAAGCGUCUCUCCUCUCUCUCUCCUUUUCAGCUGUCUCUCCCUCCCUCUCUGGAAGGCAACACUGAUCCAGGUGAGACAGCCUCUGAGGUCCCCCAGGAAGGACUGGGGAGGGCUGUAUUUCAGUACAGGCGGAGUUGCCAUGGCAACCCGGGGCACAGCAUCUGCCCUGUCCUGGGCAGCAGGCUCAGCACUGGGAGCAAUGGGAAUGAUUCAUGGUUUACACUAGGUCACGUGAGCUCCCUGGGUUUUAACCCUUACAGGGCUGGAGUACUAGGGGUUGGGGGUACGACUAGACCCUAACACCCACUGUCCUCGGCCAGGCCCCGCUCAUCUGACCCAUGCAGGUUUUCUGUCCUCUGCCUGGAGAUCCCAAACAUGUCAGGGGUUGUUAGAAGGGGGUGGGCAGCAGCUGGAUCCUGGAGGUCAGGCACACCUGUUAAAGGAGGUUUCUCCUUCUAGCAGGGAUCCAUGUCCCCCCAACCCCACUACUUUUACAGACAAGGAAAUGCAGAUUCAGAGACAUAGAUUCACUUGCCCAAGGUCACACAGCAAGGAUGUCACCAGGCAUGCACCAGAGCUGCUCCCACCCCAGGUUUUCCCAGGUCUGACAUGGUACCUGGCCCAGAGUCAGGGCUCUGUAAAUAUUUAUUGUUCGGACACCAAGUACACAAUUGAAACCCAGGUCGCUCAGAAUGCAUCCUAUGUCCUUUCCACCACCACCUCACUUCAGUUUUGAACAAAUAUUUGUUUUCUAGACACUGGUCAAAGGGCCUCACUUGAGAAAGUUUAUCACAAAGGACUCUCUGGCAAUAUGGCCAACAGAUCUCUUUCUUUUCUAUGUAUUCCCAGUCCUUACAGCUAUUCAUUCUCUUUCUCUCCCUGUCUCUCUUCUUCUUUUUUUGGAUACAGGAUCUCACUCUGUUGCCCAGGCUGGACUGCAGUGGCAUGAUCACAGCUCACUGCAGCCUUGGCCUCCCAGGCUCAAGCGAUCCUCCCACCUCAGCCUCCUCGGUAGCUAGGACUACAGGUGGAGCAACACCGUCAGUCAGAAGGCAGCGGAUGGCACAGGGCUUCCGCGUAAGGCCUGCAUCGCCUGAGUCAUGGUUUUCUCAUCUUGUAUGAGGCCCACCCCCUUCAAAAGGUUGUGACAAAAAAAACAACUGAGAUAAUUUGUGCCGCUGGCACAUAGUUAACACUCAAUAAGGCCGGGCGCAGUGGCUUACACCUCUAAUCCCAGCACUUUGGGAGGCUGAGGCAGGUGGAUCACUUGAGGCCAGGAGUUCGAUACCAGCCUGACCAACAUGGUGAAACCCCAUCUCAACUAAAAAUACAAAAAUUAGCCAGGCAUGGUGGUGUGCACCUGUAGUCCCAGCUACUUGGGAGCCUGAGGCAGGAGCAUCUCUUGAACCCGGGAGGUGGAGGUUGCAGUGAGCGGAGAUGGCACCACUGCACUCCAGCCUGGGCGACAGAACAAGACUCUGUCUCAAAACAACAACAACAACAAAAUAAUAAAUGGUGACCACAAGGGAUGAUCGUUUUUCUAUUAUAAUUCCUAUCAUCUCACUGUUCAAAUGAAUCACAGGACCCUAGACAGUCAGAAUCAAGACACCAGCAGGGACCAACCUAGGCCAACCUUCCCACUAAACUGAAGAAACAGGCCCAGACCGAGGGCUGCCCUAAGGCCUCACAGUCCAUCUGCAGCAGG
rnacentral:lncRNA from 10 species